rnacentral:misc_RNA from 1 species
GAAACGCGAUAGUUAAUGUGAAUUGCAGAAUUCAGUGAAUCAUCGAGUCUUUGAACGCACAUUGCGCCCAUAGGUAUUCCUUUGGGCAUGUCUGUUUGAGCGUCAUUACAACCCUCAGCAAACCGCUGGUUUUGAACCUGAACGGGUGACACCGCGCCGGUUUUAAAGUUGUAAGCUCUGCUGGCCGCUCUGCCCAACCAGAACAUAGUAAGCACUACUUGUCCGGGUGAAGCUGAACGGUACGGCCUGAACAAAACCUACCCACUCUCAAGGUUUGACCUCAGAUCAGACAAGGAUACCCGCUGAACUUAAGC